rnacentral:rRNA from 1 species
UACGUAGGGUGCAAGCGUUGUCCGGAAUUAUUGGGCGUAAAGAGCUCGUAGGCGGUUUGUCGCGUCGGCUGUGAAAACUCGGGGCUCAACCCCGAGCCUGCAGUCGAUACGGGCAGACUAGAGUGCUGUAGGGGAGACUGGAAUUCCUGGUGUAGCGGUGAAAUGCGCAGAUAUCAGGAGGAACACCUAUGGCGAAAGCAGCUCUCUGGGACGGUACUGACGCUGAGACGCGAAAGCGUGGGGAGCGAACAGG